CUUCUUGAAGCCGGAGAAGUGUUGGAAUUUGCUCCCUGUCUUGCAUCAUUUGUUGUGCCUGUUGUGUUUGCCGAGCGGUGUGUUGUAUGUGAGAUGGCUGUCCUUGGCGCUGUUGAGGCCCAUGUCGUUGCUGCAGCGAUCGUAUGUGUUGUUGUAUUUGCUGCGUGUAGGGGGACCCUCUGUAAGCGCUGCGGCUCAAAUGGGUGCGAUAGCAGAUUUCGUGCCUCAGAAUUUGCGUGUCUGGUCAAGGAGCUUGCUUGAGAGAGGUAUGUUUGGUUCCCUCCAACAGCUGUCGUUGGCAACGCAGCGGCACACAUGAUCACUGUAUCGUCGGCGUAUAUUGAUAAUAGCAUGUGGAUUUUUUGGGCUCCAUAAUAUGUGCUUCGCAUGAGUGAUGGAAGGGGCAUAUCCGAGGAGUAUAAUGUAUACAAUAUUGGGCCCAGUUGUUACGGAACUGCUUGUUUCUCAGUGGGCCGCGCCGGCUGGCUCAUCGGAUUCUCUGGGUGUAGUCCCAUCCCUGGCCCGCAGUCCGUUUCUCUGUACCUUCAUUUAUAUCGUAUUUAUUUUUCUUUGAUUACACACCGACUUCAAAGAAGCCGAGUGCUUCUUCACCAUUGGGCGCCAUAUUGUUACGGAACUGCUUGUUUCUCAGUGGGCCGCGCCGGCGGGCUCAUCGGAUUUUUCGGGUGUAGUUCCAUCCCUGGCGCGCAGUCCGGACAAUCGAUAACAACAAAGCUACACUUCUGUAGCAAAACAGACUCACACAACUAACUAACCAAUAUUCGGAUCUGCUAACUCAUGAACAAAAUAAACAGCUGUAACAACUAUGAAAAUGUAAACAACAAAGAUCGGGCCCCGGUUCCGGACCCAGCGUACCCGCUCCACCAUGAGACGAUCACCUACACUCGUCUCCCUCAUUUUGGCCACUAAAUGGCCUACAUUAGCCAGUGUCGACCCUCAUGCCCACUCUCCCCAACAAUUUACUUUAGCCGGACAUGCUUUCUUUCAAUAACUAUUUAGAAUCUCAUGCAAGUGGAUAUUUCGUUAACUUCACAGAUAAAUAAGUAUUCAUGCACGUGAACAUUUCUUCCCCGGGCGACGAAAUACUACAAAGAUAUUGCUAGUCGCCGCAAAAGAAACACGCAAGGAGGCAAUUUAGAGGCAAUCGUUGCGACGAUUUAGGAACAAUAAAAACAAUAAAAACGAUAAUCAGUCGUGCAACAGGUAGGUGAUAUAGAUCUGUAUUAAAUCGCUUAAUUAUACCUUACCCUACCUAAAGAGCUCUCAGGGGUGGUAGGGGCAAUUUAAAUGGAUAAUUCCAAUUAGGCGCAGAUGGAUCACCUUUGGAGUUUCCCUCACCGUUCGCACUCUAAAGUGAAGCUCGGCGUAAGUGCCUAUGAAGUACUUUUCAGGAGUCUUCAUCAUUUCUCUGCCAAGGGCCCGAACGAGGAUGGGCAAAAAGAAAACGGACUCACUCGGGGGAUGUGGGUGUGGUGUCGCCUGUGGCCGCUUCUUCGUUGUUGUCGCCCGGUCGUUGGUGGCUCGUCUCGUCGCCUUCAGGGUUGCGCCGACGCUUGGCUGGUGGCGUCG